UGGGGAAUAUUGCACAAUGGGCGAAAGCCUGAUGCAGCGACGCCGCGUGGGGGAUGACGGUCUUCGGAUUGUAAACCCCUUUCAGUAGGGACGAAGCGCAAGUGACGGUACCUGCAGAAGAAGCACCGGCUAACUACGUGCCAGCAGCCGCGGUAAUACGUAGGGUGCGAGCGUUGUCCGGAAUUACUGGGCGUAAAGAGCUCGUAGGCGGUUUGUCACGUCGUCUGUGAAAUCCCUCGGCUUAACCGGGGGCGUGCAGGCGAUACGGGCAGACUUGAGUACUACAGGGGAGACUGGAAUUCCUGGUGUAGCGGUGAAAUGCGCAGAUAUCAGGAGGAACACCGGUGGCGAAGGCGGGUCUCUGGGUAGUAACUGACGCUGAGGAGCGAAAGCAUGGGUAGCGAACAGGAUUAGAUACCCUGGUAGUCCAUGCCGUAAACGGUGGGCGCUAGGUGUGGGGUCCUUCCACGGACUCCGUGCCGUAGCUAAC
rnacentral:rRNA from 1 species